CAAUACAGCCCCUCGCCUUGCCUUGGGAGAAUCUCGGGCAGCAACCGGGAAAGAUUUUAUUCACCGUCGAUGCAGCCCCGAGUUGUCCCAAAGCCAUGCAGUACCCCCAACGUCUGUGCUGAGAAGAAUGCUGCUCCGCCUUUACGGUACCCCCCAGGUCUGUGCUGAACAGAACACAGCUCCGCCCUCGCAGUGCCCUCAGCCCGCCCGCCCAGGUCUGACCUGAGAAGAACUCUGCUCCGCCUUCGCAAUACCCCCGAAGUCUGUGCAGAGAAGAACGCAGCUCCGCCCUGGCGAUGCUCUCCGGGUGUGUGCUAAAGAGAACGCAACUCCGCCCUCGCAAAGGCGGCGCGCCGGCGGAGGCGCAGAGAGGCGCGGCGCGCCGG
rnacentral:lncRNA from 10 species